CGAUCGCUGCUGAGUCUCGCGGCGGGCCGCCGGGUGCACAUGUGUGUGUUCUCCGUGACAGUCUUGAAGUUGUGAGUAAUUAGAUUGUUUUUCGCUACGUUUAGGUUCCACCACCUCGUUGUUUUCGUGUACUUUCGUGCUCAUCGACGCGAAGGGAGCAUCCGGACUGAAGGCGACGCGAUUAUUCGUGAGAAAGAAAGGCAGUAGCGGCCUGCGACAUCGGCGUUUCUUUGUGACAGUGUGUUUACUAUGCCUACGACGGCCGUCAUUCGUGGCCAACGAGAAAACAUCUUCCAUUCGGCCUGACCAGUGAUGAAGUGGACUUUUUUUUUCGGCGGAAUCCAUCGUCAACAUCGCCCGGAAUCCAUCGUCAACAUCGUCCAUCCACUACGUAAACGAAAUGGCGUGCCCAGAGUACACGUCGUGACAGCGCUCCGCCUUCAAACCGAGGGCCUUUUGCAAGGCGGAUGGACGGCUCAUAUAAAAGUUAGUCAGCAUGAAGCAAUUGCAUGGGAACCGGCUGAUUGUCUUGGGCCUACACAUUGCUCAAAAGACAGGGAAGAUGUCUGAGCCGACAGGUAGAAAACAAGCAGAUGGCUACAGCGAUCAAUGAAGAAAUGGCUUCAUCUAUGAUGGCUCUCCUUAGGACAUUGGAAUGGAGCUACACAAAGGCAUCACCAGCCUCGCCUGUUCCCUGGAACAUUGGUUUGAAUAAGACUGUUCUUCAGUGUAGAACGACCACAAGACUUGUCACCACAUACAAGGCGUAGUGCAAGCUCUAAAUAUUGUACAGGUGGCUAGAAUAAAUGACCCUCCAUGCAGUCA